rnacentral:sRNA from 1 species
CUGCAAUAGGGAUAGAAAUGGAAAUCCUUUUUUUUCUUUUCAGCUUACCAAUUUAAAAAAAGAUUGGAAUGGAUAGCCCGGCCGCCA